CCAACGGCUCUUUUAAGAGCCACCGACGUGCCGACAAGGACAAACU
rfam:Poecilia formosa, whole genome shotgun sequence.